rnacentral:pre_miRNA from 1 species
GGUGAGAUAGCUGGGUCAGAUGGUGGUUCCAUUCCAAGUGUUCUGAGGAAUCUCCAUACUGUUUUCCAGAUUGGUGGCACCAAUUUGCAGUUCCACCAGCAAU